AACUCUUGGCAAAGCUGCGGAGUUGUCGUUCCUGUCGUGCAUGUGUUUGUGAGGAGACUACAAUGUGCAGCAUCAAGAUUGUCUUAGAGAAUGCACACGGUCAGCAGCAGACAUUUACACGAUCGUUGGAAGCAGCUGGGGAUAUUUCAGCUGCAGCAUGCUUGAGAGAUUUGCGGUCAUUGGUGGGGGAAGUGCAGACAGAACUAAACGCAGCCUUAACGCGACAGGUGGAUGACCAGCGCAGCGCAGAGAAAGGCAAAGGAAAGCAUCCAGCUGCGACAGGACAAUCAAGUGGCACUGAGGAUGAAGAGAGUGAUGACAGCGAAGACAGCAAGGAAGAAAAGACCAAUGGAAAUGUAGAACCACCUAAAAAGAUUAAGAAGACUUCUUAAAUUUUGUUGAGAUUUAUUGUGCUUCAGUGUGGGUUUUGGUUGAUAGGUGGAGGAAGGGGCAUGUUGGGAAAAUGACACAGAACAUGGGAAGAUGCCAAUUCAGUGGUACUUCAGUCAGGAAAUCACACAUUUGGACUGUGUAAUAAUUCCUUCUAGUAUUAAAAUAAAUAGUUGUGAGUACUACAGUCAGCCAUGUAGGAUUGUUCAGUAAUGAGAAAAUGCACUAGAUUAAUUAAGCAAAUAGUUUAUCAUUAACAGUAUGCAACAAAUCAGAUGAUCUAUCUGCUUAUCAAUUUAUUUUUAAGGCACUGAGGACUAAGUGACAAAGUCAUCUAGAUCAUGCGGCACUUUGCAAGCACUCCUGCAGCCUGCACAAAGGACACUGCACAAUAUACACGAAGGCAGCCAUCAUGUCAACACAAAGCAACAACAAAAAACAAACAAGGCCUUUGGGGAUCUUAAUUUUGACGCCUGAUCUAAUGGCAAUUAGGCCUCGCAAGCCUCUAGGAAAAGGUGCCCAUAAGCCUUUACACAGGCAAUGAAAGAACGGCAGUUUGCAAUUUUUUUUGUAAUCUGUGAAGCACUUUGCUGCACUUAUAUACACAGAGAAUGAACUACCUUAAAAAUUUGUGAACACUUGAAUAUAUUUGCUUAACAUAAAAUUGUAAAAAAAACACCAGACCUUUUUUUUUUUUGAAGUCACCACUACUCAAAAUGUCAGCAUCUUGAUCUGUUAACUGAUGGGAUCUAUUUUCCACUCACACUAUUUACUUUCCAGUUAUCAGAAUUCAGUUGUUCACAGCAUAAACUGAUUGCAUGUUGCUGUUGACUGUCAUGUGACUGGUCAACAUUCUUCCAAUCAUACCCCGAACUUGUAUUACUGGACUUCUGGCAGACAAUUUUUUCCAGUUGACUACUAAAACGAGGCAGGUGUAAACAAAGCUUCUGGUUUAUUCACAUUUCAGAUUAACUACUAAAACAAGGCAGGUUUGUACAAAGCUUCUGGUUUAGUCACAUUUAUUCUUUAGGCUCGCCGAGACUAACAGCGGAGAACUUCACAAGAGGCUAAGUUUUGGUCUCAUCAGACAUCAAUCCAGCUAAACAUGUCCAUGAUCCUACUAACUUUUGGUCUCUGGGGAUCGUCGGACAUGAGUCUCUGCCAUUUAAUCUGCUCUCAACCAGCAAAGACCAAUUAAAAUUUUAUGAAGGAGUAUUUUUGUGCAUUCAUAGCAAAAACCAACCAGUUCCUGCUUCUGUUAAACUGAUACUGCAAGUCCAGCUUAUUAUUCCAUUGUCUAAUUUUUACGGACAUGUUUCUCCAGGAGUUCUGUGCUCAUAGUUGAGAAUAUGAGCAGAUUCUGCAAGGGUUUUGUCCAUGUUUUUUCCCCCUAAAUAAUACAUAAUUAGCCUAAGAAUAUUAAUCUGUUUUUCAAUAUUGCAAUUUUGUUUAGCAAGAGCUUUGACAUAGAAGUUUCAAAUUGUCACUUCAAUUAAAACACCAACAUAGGAAGGAGAGAAUCUUUAGAAUGCCGUACGUUAACAAUAACCGCAACUACUAAUGGGUCAGAAAGUGAAUUUGUGUCACCCAGUUCUUCAGCCUUUGUGACCUUUGACAAGAUCCAGCACCUGACUUUUUCCAGACUUGUCCAUGGCAGGCGGGGAGUGAGCUGCAAGGGACAAGAAAAGCUGUUUUGAGGUGUUUAAGAUAUUUAAUUUGUGCUUCUGAUAUUGCACAGGUGUUAGCUUUUAUGUUGAAUGUGUUUACACACUUCACAGAUGCCUGUAGGUCAAGGGAAAGUAAUGUCAAAUUGUUAUUGUACUGGUGGUAACUGAUUAACCAUUUAAUUCAAUUAAGGCAUGAGUCCAUUCAUUUAUAGUCCAUGGUCAAUUUAAUCCAAGCGACGAUUCAUCCACAAAAUAAUUGAAUUUUGAUUAAAUCUCUUUUAAUAUCA